CAUAUAUAGAACAUAUGUAACAUCUGCACGUGCGCUACACUGACUGGCUCAGCAUGUCUACCCUAUGCUGACAGGUGCGGGUAACCCAUUGAACCCCAUUUGUGAUGGGAAUCGGAGAUUGCAAUUAUUCCCCAUGAACGAGGAAUUCCCAGUAAGUGCGGGUCAUAAGCUCGUGUUGAUUAA
rnacentral:ncRNA from 1 species